ACAAUGGGCGCAAGCCUGAUGCAGCGACGCCGCGUGCGGGAUGACGGCCUUCGGGUUGUAAACCGCUUUUGUUGGGGAGCAAGCCUUCGGGUGAGUGUACCCUUCGAAUAAGCACCGGCUAACUACGUGCCAGCAGCCGCGGUAAUACGUAGGGUGCAAGCGUUAUCCGGAAUUAUUGGGCGUAAAGAGCUCGUAGGCGGUUCGUCGCGUCCGGUGUGAAAGUCCAUCGCUUAACGGUGGAUCUGCGCCGGGUACGGGCGGGCUGGAGUGCGGUAGGGGAGACUGGAAUUCCCGGUGUAACGGUGGAAUGUGUAGAUAUCGGGAAGAACACCAAUGGCGAAGGCAGGUCUCUGGGCCGUUACUGACGCUGAGGAGCGAAAGCGUG
rnacentral:rRNA from 1 species